GGAGAGCGAAUCCCAGGCCCAUUUGCUGCAUUCACUAAAACGUGUUUGGAAUAAAACAUUCCCUUCAGAAGCCGGGUAAAAACACUGAAAGCAGUUUAGAGUUUUGUGACAGCCUCGGUUGUGAACCACAAUGCUGCCGACAUAGCUACGUCCACGACGGGUGUUGAAAUGGCACGCUAGCUAGCCCCUAGCGCACGACGCAGGGACAUGCAGGCUCAUUGAGCAGCUAGGACGAUGGAUAUACAUUUACUUGCAAGAGGGAAUUAUGGUUCUAUGAACUCUAUUCCAGGACGAUAUGGUGGUCAGUGUCGGCGUUGGAGCCAUGGAUGGCCAGAUAGCUAUUCCAGAAAGCUAUGGUGGUCAGUGUCAACAUUUGAGGCGUGAAUGGCCAGAAAGCUAUACAACAAGAUCAGGGUGGCGAUGGUCAGUUCUUGAGCUUUGAAUGGGCAGAAAGGUG